UUGAAUUGGCUUAUCUUAAAAACAGUGACAAACUUGAAAAUUCAGUACUAUUGCCUGUAGCUGCUCCUUUGUUCAUUGCUUGUACAGAGGAAAAGAAGAAGCAGUUAUCAACUUACAAUAUGGAGAAUUUGGUCCCUCAUGAAGUCGCAUUACUAACAAGACUUAGUGAGAAGGGUGACUAUAUUCUGUCCGUAAAUGUAUCAUCAG